GGAGGAGCAUGAGAUGGACAAGUUAGAGGGCAUUGACCACACAAUGGUUAACAAUAAGUGCAACGUUGACAUGCUAUCUUUGGAGGGUAGAAGUGAGCGGAAGAUCAUGUUCUCAGUGUGAUAUCAUUUGAUCUUUUGAUACAUGUCGGACCUGCAUUCACAUUUCCCUGCACCAGCGUUCUCCCGUCACUUUGUGCAGUUUGCUGCUGCUCUUGUGUAUGUAUGAUGCAUUUGGCAGUCACGGGCAAGGUUCAUAGAAUUACUCGAUCUCAGCGACUCAGCAUAAUCCGACCGUCAUCGGAAAACUGCUGAGGAACAGCUGCCCAGCGACAGAAAUGCAAAAGCCGCACGGCCCCGCGAUGGUGUUUUCAUUGUCAUUUUUUAAUUGCCCUCGAUGAUCACCCAGUGAUGAAAGGCCAGGGCGAUUUAUGCCGCAUCGGUCUCAGUAACGGUGAGCUGCGGACUUUAAUUGUGCGGGAAGGAACCGCAGGUUCUGGCUUAUUAUGAGGAUGGACACAAAGUGCUGGAGUAACUCAACGGGUCAGGCAUGUUGAUCCAGAUUGGUCUACUCUUCCUGAUGAUCCCAUGGCCUUCUGCAAAGGGUGCUGCACCAUUCACUCCCCACGUUCAAGUGUUGAAGGAGCCUGGCUCUGGCGGGGGAGGGGCAGGGGAGGGGGGUGUUGUCCUUGGACUGCACAGGGUUACAGAAGCAAUCUCCAGGGACACCCACUGCCCUCUGCAAAUAAUCGAGGAUAGAGAGUUCACGUCGAUCGCGGCCCUGCCUCCACCCAUCAUUCCACCACCACGCACAAGAAGCACAAGACACGCACCAUUAUAUACAGAUGCCGAGACGUGUGUUCAACUCCGGCUGAACAACUUGUGUGUGGACUCGAUAAGCAGAAGAAGUUCUUUUUAUUGUCAAGUGAGCAGUAGUACAGUGAAAAAAAAUGUUCUGCAUUUAUCCAGACAAAUCAUACUAUACUCUAGACUUUGGAGAAGCAGCGUGGAAACAGGCACUUCUGCCCUAACCAGCAAUCACUCUGUACACUUGUACUAUCCUACACACGCUAGGGACAAUUUUACUGAAGGCAAUUCACCUACAAACCCGAACGUCUUUGGAGUGUGGGAGAAAACUGGAGCACCCGGGGAAAACCCACGUGGUCACAGGGAGAACGUACAGACUCUGUACAGACAGUACCCAUAGUCAGGAUCGAACCCGGGUCUCUGGCACUAUAAGGCGGCAGCUCUACCACUGCACCACCAUGCCGUGCAUAAUUAGUACAAUAAAUCCUCUUCUGGAACAUCACGCAGAGGGUCGCCAUGUUCUGGUGCUAUCUUGCACUUCCCAAUCUCUGGUAAGUCCAAUCACGGCCCUGGGAGAUAGGCAGUUUCUGACUUCCUCACUUUAAGGUCCAGGUACUGGAGUGAUGAAGCAGGGGUCGGCUUGUUCCACCACUGUUCCGUGCAGCUGCCUCAGACCCGGUCCGCUCGCUCGCUGGUUGAUGCAGGGCCUCCUGCAGCCGCCUGCACCGACGCCAACACCCACGUCCACCGCAAACCUCUGGCAGCCACCCCUCCGUGUCCGUGCAACGAGAUCACCAAGUCACCGCUACCCGACCCAACCACAGAACAUCAUAAAUUCUAGAGGGAAAUAUUUACACUGUGUAGCUUUCCGCUUCUUUUUUCGUAAAAUCCAAUUAUUAGAGAGUCACAAAGUCAUACAGCAUGGAAGCAAGCCCUUCAGCCCAACUUGCCCAUGCCGACCUACAUGCCCAGCCUAUCCCAUAUAUUUAAUGCAGUUCGAUCUUGAUGAUGGGCUAGGAAUACCCAGUCAUAGAAACAUAGAAAUUAGAAACAUAGAAAUUAGGUGCAGGAGUAGGCCAUUCGGCCCUUCGAGCCUGCACCGCCAUUCAAUAUGAUCAUGGCUGAUCAUCCAACUCAGUAUCCCGUACCUGCCUUCUCUCCUUACCCCCUGAUCCCCUU